GACGAACGCUGGCGGCGUGCUUAACACAUGCAAGUCGAACGGAAAGGCCCUGCUUUUGUGGGGUGCUCGAGUGGCGAACGGGUGAGUAACACGUGAGUAACCUGCCCUUGACUUUGGGAUAACUUCAGGAAACUGGGGCUAAUACCGGAUAGGAGCUCCUGCUGCAUGGUGGGGGUUGGAAAGUUUCGGCGGUUGGGGAUGGACUCGCGGCUUAUCAGCUUGUUGGUGGGGUAGUGGCUUACCAAGGCUUUGACGGGUAGCCGGCCUGAGAGGGUGACCGGCCACAUUGGGACUGAGAUACGGCCCAGACUCCUACGGGAGGCAGCAGUGGGGAAUAUUGCACAAUGGGCGGAAGCCUGAUGCAGCAACGCCGCAUGCGGGAUGACGGCCUUCGGGUUGUAAACCGCUUUCGCCUGUGACGAAGCGUGAGUGACGGUAAUGGGUAAAGAAGCACCGGCUAACUACGUGCCAGCAGCCGCGGUGAUACGUAGGGUGCGAGCGUUGUCCGGAUUUAUUGGGCGUAAAGGGCUCGUAGGUGGUUGAUCGCGUCGGAAGUGUAAUCUUGGGGCUUAACCCUGAGCGUGCUUUCGAUACGGGUUGACUUGAGGAAGGUAGGGGAGAAUGGAAUUCCUGGUGGAGCGGUGGAAUGCGCAGAUAUCAGGAGGAACACCAGUGGCGAAGGCGGUUCUCUGGGCCUUUCCUGACGCUGAGGAGCGAAAGCGUGGGGAGCGAACAGGCUUAGAUACCCUGGUAGUCCACGCUGUAAACGGUGGGUACUAGGUGUGGGGUCCAUUCCACGGGUUCCGUGCCGUAGCUAACGCUUUAAGUACCCCGCCUGGGGAGUACGGCCGCAAGGCUAAAACUCAAAGGAAUUGACGGGGCCCCGCACAAGCGGCGGAGCAUGCGGAUUAAUUCGAUGCAACGCGUAGAACCUUACCUGGGUUUGACAUGGAUCGGGAGCGCUCAGAGAUGGGUGUGCCUCUUUUGGGGUCGGUUCACAGGUGGUGCAUGGCUGUCGUCAGCUCGUGUCGUGAGAUGUUGGGUUAAGUCCCGCAACGAGCGCAACCCUUGUUCACUGUUGCCAGCACGUUAUGGUGGGGACUCAGUGGAGACCGCCGGGGUCAGCUCGGAGGAAGGUGGGGAUGACGUCAAGUCAUCAUGCCCCUUAUGUCCAGGGCUUCACGCAUGCUACAAUGGCUGGUACAGAGAGUGGCGAGCCUGUGAGGGUGAGCGAAUCUCGGAAAGCCGGUCUCAGUUCGGAUUGGGGUCUGCAACUCGACCUCAUGAAGUCGGAGUCGCUAGUAAUCGCAGAUCAGCAACGCUGCGGUGAAUACGUUCCCGGG
rnacentral:rRNA from 1 species